CGCAUGGUGGAUUCACAAUCCACUGCCUUGAUCCACUUGGCUACAUCCGCCCG
rnacentral:tRNA from 1 species